rnacentral:rRNA from 1 species
CGGCCCAGACUCCUACGGGAGGCAGCAGUGGGGAAUAUUGGACAAUGGGGGAAACCCUGAUCCAGCAAUGCCGCGUGAGUGAAGAAGGCCUUCGGGUUGUAAAGCUCUUUUGUCAGGGAAGAAACGGUAGAGGCUAAUAUCCUUUGCUAAUGACGGUACCUGAAGAAUAAGCACCGGCUAACUACGUGCCAGCAGCCGCGGUAAUACGUAGGGUGCAAGCGUUAAUCGGAAUUACUGGGCGUAAAGCGUGCGCAGGCGGUUGUGUAAGACAG